GAUGAACGCUGGCGGCGUGCCUAAUACAUGCAAGUAGAACGCUGAAGGAGGAGCUUGCUCUUCUGGAUGAGUUGCGAACGGGUGAGUAACGCGUAGGUAACCUGCCUGGUAGCGGGGGAUAACUAUUGGAAACGAUAGCUAAUACCGCAUGACAACAGUUAUUGCAUGAUAACUGUUUAAAAGGGGCAACUGCUCCACUACCAGAUGGACCUGCGUUGUAUUAGCUAGUUGGUGAGGUAACGGCUCACCAAGGCGACGAUACAUAGCCGACCCGAGAGGGGGAUCGGCCACACUGGGACUGGGACACGGCCCAGACUUCUACGGGAGGCAGCAGUAGGGAAUCUUCGGCAAUGGGCGGAAGGCUGAACGAGCAACGCCGCGUGAGUGGAGAAGGUUUUCGGAUCGUAAAGCUCUGUUGUAAGAGAAGAACGAGUGUGGGAGUUGAAAGUUCACACUGUGACGGUAUCUUACCAGAAAGGGACGGCUAACUACGUG
rnacentral:rRNA from 1 species